AUUGAACGCUGGCGGCAGGCCUAACACAUGCAAGUCGAACGAGUGGCGGACGGGUGAGUAAUGUCUGGGAAACUGCCUGAUGGAGGGGGAUAACUACUGGAAACGGUAGCUAAUACCGCAUACCAUCGGAUGUGCCCAGAUGGGAUUAGCUAGUGGGUGGGGUAAAGGCUCACCUAGGCGACGAUCCGUAGCGGGUCUGAGAGGAGGACCAGCCAAACUGGAAUGGAGAAACGGCCCAGAUUCUUCCGGGAGGAAGCAGUGGGGAAUAUUGCACAAGGGGCGCAAGCCUGAUGCAGCCAUGCCGGGUGUAUGAAGAAGGCCUUCGGGUGGUAAAGUACUUUCAGCGGGGAGGCGUUACCCGCAGAAGAAGCACCGGCUAACUCCGUGCCAGCAGCCGCGGUAAUAC
rnacentral:rRNA from 1 species